rnacentral:rRNA from 1 species
CCAGCAGCCGCGGUAAUUCCAGCUCCAAUAGCGUAUAUUAAAGUUGUUGCAGUUAAAAAGCUCGUAGUUGAAAUUGGGGAACGUGAACAAUUUGAGGUCAUAAACCAAUAAUUGUUUGCUCCUUCAUCGUCGUGUAUAUCUUUUGAGUUCUUUAUUGAAUUUGAUUGAUAACCGACAAGUUUACUUUGAAAAAAUUAGAGUGCUUAAAGCAAGCUUAUGCUUGUAUAUUGUUGCAUGGAAUAAUGAAAUAAGACUUCGGUUUUAUUUUGUUGGUUUUC